rnacentral:rRNA from 1 species
AAGUCCCGUAACGAGCGCAACCCUCGUCUUUAGUUGCUACCAUUUAGUUGGGCACUCUAAAGAAACUGCCGGUGAUAAGCCGGAGGAAGGUGGGGAUGACGUCAAGUCCUCAUGGCCCUUACGCGCUGGGCUACACACGUGCUACAAUGGCGGUGACAACGGGCAGCAAACUCGCGAGAGUGAGCAAAUCCCAAAAAGCCGUCUCAGUUCGGAUUGUUCUCUGCAACUCGAGAGCAUGAAGGCGGAAUCGCUAGUAAUCGCGGAUCAGCACGCCGCGGUGAAUACGUUCCCAGGCCUUGUACACACCGCCCGU